rnacentral:rRNA from 1 species
GAUGAACGCUGGCGGCGUGCUUAACACAUGCAAGUCGAACGUGAGGGUGUAGCAAUACACCUGAAAGUGGCAAACGGGUGAGUAACACGUAGGUAACCUGCCUCGAAGCGGGGGAUAACCACGGGAAACUGUGGCUAAUACCGCAUGUGCUCAGAAACACGGGAGUGUUUCUGAGGAAAACUUCGGUGCUUCGAGAGGGGCCUGCGCCCGAUUAGCUAGUUGGUAGGGUAAAGGCCUACCAAGGCGAUGAUCGGUAGCUGGUCUGAGAGGACGAUCAGCCACACGGGAACUGAGAGACGGUCCCGACUCCUACGGGUGGCAG